rnacentral:rRNA from 1 species
UACGUAGGUGGCAAGCGUUGUCCGGAUUUACUGGGCGUAAAGCGUGCGUAGGUGGUUCGUUAAGUCUGAUGUGAAAGCCCUGGGCUCAACCUGGGAAUGGCAUUGGAUACUGGCGACCUAGAGUGCGGUAGAGGGGUGUGGAAUUCCCGGUGUAGCAGUGAAAUGCGUAGAUAUCUGGAGGAACACCGGUGGCGAAGGCGGCAUCCUGGACCGACACUGACGCUGAGGCGCGAAAGCUAGGGUAGCAAACAGG